CAGCAUUUUUUAGCUGGAAACAGCGCUUCCAACUGGAAACAACUGGAUGGAGCAUUUUCCAGCCGGAAGUAGAAUCUAUCGACUGGAAAGUGGAGCUUCCCACUUGCAUUGAGACAUUUUUUGUAUCUGCAACAUGCCCAUAUUUAGCCCUAGGUGGUGUUUGUAGCAGAACGAAGAGCUUUUACUCUUGCAGCAGCAGCAAAAAAAAAAAUUAUUUCUCUGCGUUGUGACAACAAUCGUAAUUAAUUGCAUGAACUGCAUGGAAAUGCUCGUCACUCAGGGUACCUUUGAUCGCGAUCGGGCCCGAUCGGGAUCGAUUGCAAUCGAAAGUGUCCUGUGUGAUCGAGUUGCCAAAAAAAAAUAUCUACAGGAAAACUGCCACUUUUAUUGAACCUUACUUGUAAUAGACAAAAGCGACGCGCUCUUGAUCGACACUGUAUAUCUUGCUACACUGUCGAUGUUACACUAGCGAGGAGCUUGCCCGAUUGGCCAUGAUGAGCCGUUGCGCAAACGGCUAGUGUUUACAGCAUAGCAAUUCCUUCUCUAACAAAAAAGAGCCUUAACACGUGGCACCUUCAGCAGUUCAGGCUGCAAUGACCGCUGCUCCUAUUUUUUCCUGUCUCCACGACGCCAAUACAAUCGCCGCCAUAUUUGUUGAAUACUUAGGAGCUUUAGUCUCGUAUCUUGUCUUGAUCUGCUCUUUUGACACGAAUAAUAAUAUAAUAGCGUGUUAUUGCAAUAUCAGUAUUUCUCAGAAAAGCUCGGGUUUUUAUUCACAGCAGCAGCAUUACAAAGGCAGGCCGAAUAUAAAAAAUGUGACGACGCCACAGGGGCUCUAGUUUCGUACAGCACAUGGCGGAAACUGUCACGGCGAGGCAAUUUUGCGAGACAACGAGAGUCUCUCGGGUGUGCGUGUGAUCAAGUUUUUGUGAGGAACCUGCAUGAUCUUGCGCAUGAAGUAAUUAUUUUUGGACAGUUCCUUCUCUGGACGGUGUUACAAGUACAGGCAAGCGGCUAUCAACGGUUGUUAUUGCUGUACUUUGUGGUGUUGUGAUUCACCAGUGCGGAUCGAAGAGCACCGUUUUCUCCAGCCCUGAUUCUACAAUUUGGAGAUGGGGUACAAGGAGGAGUGCAAGUGUAUUCCACAUCUUGAGGGAGAUGCAAGAUAUGCUUCCGCAAUCCUUGCUGCAAGUGUUCAAAUAAAUGGUUGCAAGUUUCAGC